GUGUAUCAGUAUCUGGAGUUCUGUGAUGACAUACUGGUGUUGGAGAGUGGAAAGAUAAAGGAGUCAGGGACACACAAAGCUCUGAUGAAAGCUAAAGGCCGAUACGCACAGAUGAUCAACAACUUCCAGAUGGAGCAUUCACAGGUAAGAUCUCCCGUUAUCCAUCUGGUUUCAGAGCCAAUAGAUACAGGUAAGAUCUCCUGUUAUCCAUCUGGUUUCAGAGCCAAUAGAUACAGGUAAGAUCUCCCGUUAUCCAUCUGGUUUCAGAGCCAAUAGAUACAGGUAAGAUCUCCCGUUAUCCAUCUGGUUUCAGAGCCAAUAGAUACAGGUAAGAUCUCCCGUUAUCCAUCUCUACCUCUGGUUUCAGAGCCAAUAGAUACAGG
ensembl:lncRNA